ACUCCUACGGGAGGCAGCAGUGGGGAAUAUUGGACAAUGGGGGAAACCCUGAUCCAGCCAUGCCGCGUGUGUGAAGAAGGCCUUCGGGUUGUAAAGCACUUUCAGUGGGGAGGAAAGGUUGUUGGUUGAUACCUAACAGCUGUGACGUACCCCAUUACGAUAAAGGCACCGGCUAACUCCGUGCCAGCAGCCGCGGUAAUACGGAGGGUGCAAGCGUUAAUCGGAAUUACUGGGCGUAAAGCGUGCGCAGGCGGUCUGUUAAGCGAGAUGUGAAAGCCCCGGGCUCAACCUGGGAACUGGCAUUUCCGAACUGGCAGACUAGAGUCUUGUAGAGGGGGGUAGAAUUCCAGGU
rnacentral:rRNA from 1 species